UCCGGUAUGGUGUAACGGCUAACAUUGUCGCCUUUCAACUGUAUAACGUGACGCGCGACGGCUCAGGGUUCGAUUCCCUGUACCGGAG
rnacentral:tRNA from 1 species